rnacentral:lncRNA from 1 species
UCCAACCAUAGGCUUCUACUGGUCUGUCAAUAAAGUAUUUUGGUAUUUCUACACAACAUUCUGCACGGUGCUCUACUUCACUUACCUUGGGAUGCUGCUCUUUUCCAUUACCCCAACUCUCCAAGUGGCUUCUGUAAUGGCAACCUUCAGCUACACCAUAUUGAGUCUUUUCUCAGGAUUCCUGAUACCCGGACCAGUAAGCCAAUUCUGAUCCUCUUCAUCCUGAUAGUAACUAUUUGCAUUCAGUAAUUUGACACUAACAUUUAUAUCCAUUCCAGACAACAAAUAAACAGCAAUUAAGCAUCACUUAUUUUAUUUUUUAGCUCGAGACAAACCAAUUAGGCAUUAUAACCUCAGUCCAAAUAUUGACCUAAUGAAACACAGCUAUUUUGAAUGUUAACAUUAAUAGGAACAAAUUUUUCCUGCAACAACAGUUUUCAAUUAAAAACCAAUGGAAAAAAACACACUCAAUUUAGCUGAUACGACUUUUUACAUUUGUUCUUGCAGCAAAUGCCAAAAUUGUGGGUUUGGUGUUACUGGAUAUGCCCAACGGCCUGGUCCUUGAGAGGCAUUCUUACAUCACAAUACGGAGAUAUUGAUAAGGAAAUACUAGUAUUUGGAGAGAAAAAGGCAAUCAAUGCCUUCUUAGAAAGUUAUUUUGGUUAUCACCAUGAGGAUUUAAGUCUCGUAGCAUUACUUCUCUUUGCAUUCCCACUUGUAUUUGCAUCUUUGUUUGCGUACUCCAUGGCAAAACUAAACUUUCAGAGGAGGUAAAAUUGCCAAAAUCUUACUCAAGUAGUCAUACAAAUCCUAAAUUUUGAUAAUUCAUGCAUGCAUGUUUAUAUAUACCACAAAAUACAGAUUAGACGCUUGAUCUUGUAACACAAAUCUGAACAAUUCAAAUAUUGGAGCAAUCACUUGCAAAAUUCCUUUUCCAAAACAAUUUACCACUGCUAUUGAUAUUUUGAAUCAGUAAACAAUUCACCAUUUCAAAUCUACAACAAUUUAAAAUAGACGAAUUCGAUUUGGAUAGAGGGUAAUUUUACAAAAAUAAUUUGAAAGCGGAGAACACAAUACCGUGAACUGCGCAUUUUCAACUUCCCGUCGUUACUCAUCGCCGAUCAAUCAACGAAGUUUUGAAGGUAAUCAUAAUCUUUUAAUCGGUUACACUGUUAUUCCAACAGAGGAGAAUAAAUAAU